UACAGAGGGUGCAAACGUUGCUCGGAAUCAUUGGGCGUAAAGCGCACGUAGGCGGUCCGAUAAGUCGGUAGUGAAAGCCCUCGGCUUAACCGAGGAAGUGCUAUCGAAACUGUCGGACUUGAAUACCGGAGAGGAUCGCGGAAUUCCCGGUGUAGAGGUGAAAUUCGUAGAUAUCGGGAGGAACACCAGUGGCGAAGGCGGCGAUCUGGACGGAUAUUGACGCUGAGGUGCGAAAGCGUGGGGAGCAAACAGG
rnacentral:rRNA from 1 species